rnacentral:tRNA from 1 species
GCGGGCAUCGUAUAAUGGCUAUUACCUCAGCCUUCCAAGCUGAUGAUGCGGGUGCGAUUCCCGCUGCCCGCUCCA